CUGCUAAUGAGUUCAGAUUCUUUUUUUGAAUCUGUAUGUAAUCAUUAAAGCAUUAUACGGAAAAAGUUACAUGUAUAUGUAUAUAUGUAGUAAAAUUUUUUAAGGCUUUUCUCAGGUACCGGGAAAUCUCAGUUCUUGAAAUUUGCUGCAAAGUUAAGUAACAGAUCUGUUGUCACUAUUGGCUUAGGAAGCACUAGUGCUGGACUCACUGUCACUGCAGUCAAGGAUGGAGGUUAGGGAUCGAAUUGGCAAGGAGCAUUGCAAAGGUAAUUUGCAAGAGUUGUUAAACCCAGACAAAAAACAAGAUUUUAGUAAGAGAACAACAUCAAAUACAAAUUCAUUGGAGAUGGAUAAAAGUUGGAUCCAUCUUAACAGAGUAACGGUGGAAUAUGAGCAAAAAGCUAGAGAGUUUGU